UCCCUGACAGUCUAGUGGUUAAGACUCUGCACUUUCACCCCUGCGGCCCGGGUUCAAGCCCUGGUCUGGGAA
rnacentral:tRNA from 1 species